UUCUUUCACCGGAGCUUGCUCCACCGAAAGAAAAGGAGUGGCGAACGGGUGAGUAACACGUGGGUAACCUGCCCAUCAGAAGGGGAUAACACUUGGAAACAGGUGCUAAUACCGUAUAACAAUCGAAACCGCAUGGUUUCGGUUUGAAAGGCGCUUUUGCGUCACUGAUGGAUGGACCCGCGGUGCAUUAGCUAGUUGGUGAGGUAACGGCUCACCAAGGCAACGAUGCAUAGCCGACCUGAGAGGGUGAUCGGCCACAUUGGGACUGAGACACGGCCCAAACUCCUACGGGAGGCAGCAGUAGGGAAUCUUCGGCAAUGGACGGAAGUCUGACCGAGCAACGCCGCGUGAGUGAAGAAGGUUUUCGGAUCGUAAAACUCUGUUGUUAGAGAAGAACAAGGAUGAGAGUAGAAUGUUCAUCCCUUGACGGUAUCUAACCAGAAAGCCACGGCUAACUACGUGCCAGCAGCCGCGGUAAUACGUAGGUGGCAAGCGUUGUCCGGAUUUAUUGGGCGUAAAGCGAGCGCAGGCGGUUUCUUAAGUCUGAUGUGGAAGCCCCCGGCUCAACCGGGGAGGGUCAUUGGAAACUGGGAAACUUGAGUGCAGAAGAGGAGAGUGGAAUUCCAUGUGUAGCGGUGAAAUGCGUAGAUAUAUGGAGGAACACCA
rnacentral:rRNA from 1 species